UACAGAGGUGGCAAGCGUUUGUUCGGAUUUACUGGGCGUAAAGGGUGCGUAGGCGGUUCUGCGUGUCGGGUGUGAAAUCCCACGGAUCAUCUGUGGAACGGCAUUCGAAACUGCAGGGCUAGAGUGCGGGAGAGGAAGGUAGAAUUCUCGGUGUAGCGGUGAAAUGCGUUGAUAUCGAGAGGAAUGCCGGUGGUGAAGACGACCUUCUGGAACGCAACUGACGCUGAGGCAC
rnacentral:rRNA from 1 species